rnacentral:rRNA from 3 species
CAGUGAUAAACUGGAGGAAGGUGGGGAUGACGUCAAGUCAUCAUGGCCCUUACGACCAGGGCUACACACGUGCUACAAUGGCGCAUACAAAGAGAAGCGACCUCGCGAGAGCAAGCGGACCUCAUAAAGUGCGUCGUAGUCCGGAUUGGAGUCUGCAACUCGACUCCAUGAAGUCGGAAUCGCUAGUAAUCGUGGAUCAGAAUGCCACGGUGAAUACGUUCCCGGGCCUUGUACACACCGCCCGUCACACCAUGGGAGUGGGUUGCAAAAGAAGUAGGUAGCUUAACCUUCGGGAGGGCGCUUACCACUUUGUGAUUCAUGACUGGGGUGAAGUCGUAACAAGGUAACCGUA